rnacentral:rRNA from 1 species
CCUACGGGUGGCAGCCGUGGGGGAUAUUGCACAAUGGGGGGCCCCCUGAUGCAGCGACGCCGCGUGGGUGAAGAAGCGCCUCGGCGCGUCCCGCCCUGUCAGCAGGGAAGAACAUGACGGUACCUGAAGAAGAAGCCCCGGCUAACUACGUGCCAGCAGCCGCGGUAAUACGUAGGGGGCAAGCGUUAUCCGGCUUUACUGGGUGUAAAGGGGGGGCAGACGGCGAUGCAAGCCAGGAGUGAACGCCCGGGGCCCAACCCCGGGACUGCUCUUGGUACUGCGUGGCUGGAGUGCAGGAGGGGCAGGCGGAAUUCCUGGUGGAGCGGUGAAAUGCGUAGAUAUCAGGAGGAACACCGGUGGCGAAGGCGGCCUGCUGGACUGCAACUGACGUUGAGGCCCGAAAGCGUGGGGAGCAAACAGGAUUAGAUACCCUAGUAGUC